rnacentral:rRNA from 1 species
AUCCCUUGACAUCCUGCGAACUUUCUAGAGAUAGAUUGGUGCCUUCGGGAACGCAGUGACAGGUGCUGCAUGGCUGUCGUCAGCUCGUGUCGUGAGAUGUUGGGUUAAGUCCCGCAACGAGCGCAACCCUUAUCAUUAGUUGCUAACAUUUAGUUGAGAACUCUAAUGAGACUGCCGGUGAUAAACCGGAGGAAGGCGGGGACGACGUCAAGUCAUCAUGGCCCUUAUGGGAUGGGCUACACACGUGCUACAAUGGGGGGUACAAAGAGCAGCCAACUGGCGACAGUGCGCGAAUCUCAUAAAACCUCUCGUAGUCCGGAUCGGAGUCUGCAACUCGACUCCGUGAAGUCGGAAUCGCUAGUAAUCGUGAAUCAGAAUGUCACGGUGAAUACGU